CUUCUUGGUCAUUUAGAGGAAGUAAAAGUCGUAACAAGGUUUCCGUAGGUGAACCUGCGGAAGGAUCAUUAAUGAAAUCGACGUUCGGGAAAGGUUGUUGCUGGCCCCAUGGCAUGUGCACGCCUUUACCGGAUGUAUUCGUCCUUUCUUUACACCUGUGCACGAUCUGUAGCUAGGGAUGAUCACGGAGCCUGUCGGUUCCGAAUGCCCUGGCUAUGAAUGUUUUUAUACCCUCUUAUAAAGUUUUUUUUGAACGUUUGUCCUGCGUGUAACAGCGCGAAUGAAAUACAACUUUCAGCAACGGAUCUCUUGGCUCUCGCAUCGAUGAAGAACGCAGCGAAAUGCGAUAAGUAAUGUGAAUUGCAGAAUUCAGUGAAUCAUCGAAUCUUUGAACGCACCUUGCGCUCCUUGGUAUUCCGAGGAGCAUGCCUGUUUGAGUGUCAUGAAAUUCUCAACUGCUUCGGCUUUGUUCGAAGUGAAGUUGGACGUGAAGCGCUUGCUGGCCUGUUCCGGCUCCUUCCAAAAGCAUAAAGCCUUUUCUCAGUAGAUCUUGGCAGAAAAAGUAUCUUUGACGUGAUAAUCAUCUACGUCGCAGAGAAAGCCUUGAGCAGAGCUCUUCUUCGUUCUUGUGAUGAGGAAGGCUCCUACGGGAUGGCUCACCUGGAGGGGGGUUAUCAUAUGAUCCCUUUCGUUUGACCAAUUCGACCUCAAAUCAGGCAGGACUACCCGCUGAACUUAAGCAUAUCAAUAAGCGGAGGAA
rnacentral:rRNA from 1 species